rnacentral:lncRNA from 10 species
GCCGGAACCCCCAGCAGCAACCUGCUUGCGUCGCUUCCUGCACUUUGGCGGCUUUGUUCUUUAGCUCUUUGCAAUAAAUCUUGCUGCUGCUCACUCUUUGGGUCCACACUGCCUUUAUGAGCUGUAACACUCACCACGAAGGUCUGCAGCUUCACUUCUGAAGCCAGCGGGACCACGAACCCACUGGGAGGAACGAACAACUCUAGACGCACUGCCUGAAGAGCUGUAACACUCACCGUGAAGGUCCACAGCUUCACUCCUGAGCCAGUGAGACCAUGAACCCACCAGAGGGAAGAAACUCGGAACACAUCUGAACAGCAGAAGGAACAAACUCCGGACACGCCGCCUUUAAGAACUAUAACACUCACGGCGAGGGUGCGCGGUUUCAUUCUUGAAGUCAGUGAGACCAAGAACCCACCAAUUCUGGACACAUGGCCACUGAGCACUCCCUGCUCGGGGCUGCACCUCAGCAACAACAGAGGCUAUGAUACCGGGCUGGAGGGCGCUGAAACGUUAGGAACAAGCUCUGAAGUCUUGAUCCAAAACAGACAAGGCUUUAAUAUGAAAGCAUUUUUCUUUGAAGAAGUUCACCCUGAAGCCUUGGCCCAAUGAUCUCAGAAGAUGAGAGAGAAUGGCAAACCAAAAACUCUGAGUGAGUUUGAAAGUGGAUCUUCUGAAGCCUUCCAACAGUCAUGUGUGGAAUCUGGAAGUGCAUUUUUGAGGCUUUCCCAUAGCCAUCUGAGUGAGCUGAUUUGGACCAUUUGGAGGAAGUAGAGUGAGCAUUUGAAAAAAUGGUAUUUAUGUCAACCAGACCUGGAGUUCAAGGUCAGUAAUUGUAUAAUUUAUACAUUUGGUUAUGUAGUUUAACUACACUGAAACUUCUUUUCUUCAUUUUCAAAACAAAUUGGUAUAGUAUGUAAUAUAUUUUUCAAAGAGACAUUGUAAGGAUUUAAUAAAAUGAGUGAUGUAAACUUUUUAUUUACACAGUGCCUGACAUGUAAACUCUAAAUCUGUUCAAUCCCUAGUGGAGUCUUAAGUUUUAUUUUCACAAAUUCAAUUGUAAAUUAAAAAGGACUUAUAAAACAAAAUGUUCUAAAAUGGACCUGAAUUAUAUGAUUUUAUUUUACUAAAAACAGAAUAAUCACAUACGAUGUGGAGAGUCACUUGGUGAUUGUAAUAACUUCAUACUUACUGGGUUUGAAGAUUGCUUCAUGUGUCUGUUUGAGGGACAGUAUUGCAAAACAUAGGUGAAAGUCACUACCGAAGGAAUGAUCUAAUAAUGGUUAAAGUUAGAGAAAUAAUUCAUUAUUUGAUCAAAAUAACUAUUUCACUUAUAAUUCUAAUAUAACAACUAAAUGAAAAACCAGUCCUCAUUUACCUGCAAUAUUACUAGCAAUUUAUUCAAAGAUGACGUUACAAGUUGUAACUUAGAUUUUGCACUAAAAAUUGUUCUGUACCGUGAAUUGUAAAAUUGCUACUUUGAAUAAGAAUACAUUUUCACCUUUCAUAAAACUGAUAGUUAUUAUUUCAGCAUAGCUACCAAUAAAUCUAGUUCAUUUUAAACUACUUAUUUUUACUUAUUUUGUUUUUUGCUUCAUCACAAUAAUAACCUUUAUUUUAUUAAAAUCAGUCAGACUGUAACAGAUACAUGAAAUUUCAUUAUAUUAGAACACAUUCCUGCGUGAUUUUCAUAAUGAUCACAGCAAUUUUUCUAGUUAUUCCAAAAGAUUGCUUGCUCUAGCAUACUUACCAAAAGGAGCUGUUAUUGCAAUAAAUCUGUUAUAUGUUCAGAAUGACAAUUAAUGUGAUUUGGAAUAAUGGGAGAAGAGAGUUAGUUAUAAAAGAUGCAUUUUGAAUAAUGACUGCCUAACCAAUAUCGGGAAAAAGGGAGAAGAAAUUGGUGAAAGAAGUAUCUGGAAUUAUUGUUUUAGGAGGCAGUAAAACAUGAUAGUAUAAAGAAAUCAUAAGAAAACCCCUAUUUAUCCUAUAUGCAUUUAAUUUUUCUCUUGAUUACAAUGUGAAUAUUAAAAACUAUCAUCUCUAGACUGAAGAAGGUAGAUCAUUUAUUUUCCCUAUAUAUCUUUAUAUUGUUUGAAUUAUUAUUUUGUUAUUAUACUUUAAGUUCUAGGACACAUGUGCACAACUUGCAGGUUUGU